GACUGAUCUCUUGUCACUGUGACAUGUCCCAUAGGUUUCAUUCACAGAGAAGUUCGAGGAACAAAGCAGUUCAAUGAAGAAACUCUGAUCCUCUUCAGAAUGAGAGGACUACUCUUACUGCUACUCUUUUCAACAGGCUUGGCCACCUGUCCUGAUGGACAGUUCAAGUGCAUUCAGUCAGAGGAAUGUGUUUCUAUAGAGCAAGUCUGUGACUUUCUCAUCAACUGUAAAGAUGGAUCAGAUGAAGAGUUUUGUGGCUCUUGUGACUUUGACGAACAUACAUGUGGAUGGAUUGACAUCAGUACUGAUAACUUUAAAUGGAGCCUAGAAAUGGCAAACAUCUCUGCUAUUCCUGGAGUGGACCAUACUACAGGAUCACCUUGGGGUGGAGUUAUGCAUGUAGAAGGUGACAAUCAAGGACUCUUCUCAAAAGCAGUUCUCCAGCACACACUUCUCCAGUCCACUCAACUCGGAUGCAA